rnacentral:rRNA from 1 species
UCCUACGGGAGGCAGCAGUGGGGAAUAUUGGACAAUGGGGGGAACCCUGAUCCAGCCAUGCCGCGUGUGUGAAGAAGGCCUUAUGGUUGUAAAGCACUUUAAGCGAGGAGGAGGCUACUUUAGUUAAUACCUAGAGAUAGUGGACGUUACUCGCAGAAUAAGCACCGGCUAACUCUGUGCCAGCAGCCGCGGUA